CCCUUAGAUGUUCUGGGCCGCACGCGCGCUACACUGAUGCAUGCAACGAGUUCUAUCCUUGGCCGGAAGGCCUGGGUAAUCUGUGAACGUGCAUCGUGAUAGGGAUAGAUUAUUGCAAUUAUUAAUCUUGAACGAGGAAUUCCUAGUAAACGCAAGUCAUCAGCUUGCAUUGAUUACGUCCCUGCCCUUUGUACACACCGCCCGUCGCACCUACCGAUCGAAGGUAGUGAUGAGCCCUCAGGAUUGUGGCCUCGUCGCGUCAGCGUCUUGGCUGCGAGAAUCUGUGCAAAUCCCUACCUUUAGAGGAAGGUGAAGUCGUAACA
rnacentral:rRNA from 1 species